UACGGAGGGGGCUAGCGUUGUUCGGAAUUACUGGGCGUAAAGCGCUCGCAGGCGGUCUGCUAAGUUUGGAGUGACAGUUGGUGGCUUAACUGCCAAAGUGCUUCGAAAACUGACAGACUUGAGGGCUUCAGAGGGACACGGAAUUCCGGGUGGAGUGGUGAAAUGCGUAGAGAUCCGGAGGAACACCAAAGGCGAAGGCAGUGUCCUGGGGAGUACCUGCCGCUCAGGUGCGAAAGCCAGGGGAGCGAACGGG
rnacentral:rRNA from 1 species